CCCUUGGAUGUUCUGGGCUGCACGCGCGCUACACUGAAGCGUUCAACGAGUAUUCACCUUGCCCGGGAGGGUUGGGUAAUCUUUUCAAAACGCUUCGUGAUGGGGAUAGAUUAUUGCAAUUAUUAAUCUUCAACGAGGAAUUCCUAGUAAGCGCGAGUCAUCAGCUCGUGCUGAUUACGUCCCUGCCCUUUGUACACACCGCCCGUCGCUCCUACCGAUUGAGUGCUCAGGUGAGCCAUUCGGACUUUCAUCAUGCUGGUUUCCAGUUUUGAUGAAGGAAAGUCUUGCGAACCUUAUCAUUUAGAGGAAGGAGAAGUCGUAACA
rnacentral:rRNA from 1 species